rnacentral:rRNA from 1 species
AGUGAACGCUGGCGGUAGGCCUAACACAUGCAAGUCGAACGGCAGCACAGGAGAGCUUGCUCUCUGGGUGGCGAGUGGCGGACGGGUGAGGAAUACAUCGGAAUCUACUCUGUCGUGGGGGAUAACGUAGGGAAACUUACGCUAGUACCGCAUACGACCUACGGGUGAAAGCAGGGGAUCUUCGGACCUUGCGCGAUUGAAUGAGCCGAUGUCGGAUUAGCUAGUUGGCGGGGUAAAGGCCCACCAAGGCGACGAUCCGUAGCUGGUCUGAGAGGAUGCUCAGCCACACUGGAACUGAGACACGGUCCAGACUCCUACGGGAGGCAGCAGUGGGGAAUAUUGGACAAUGGGCGCAAGCCUGAUCCAGCCAUACCGCGUGGGUGAAGAAGGCCUUCGGGUUGUAAAGCCCUUUUGUUGGGAAAGAAAUCCAGCUGGCUAAUACCCGGUUGGGAUGACGGUACCCAAAGAAUAAGCACUGGCUAACUUCGUGCCAGCCGCCGCCGUAA